CAACAUACAUCCUAUGGGAAGGAACUUCAUGAAGUCAAGACAAUUCUAAGAAAUAAGAUCAUUACCAGAGUUUAAACAACUUCAACACCUUCAAGUGGUAAUGCACUCAUCUGCAAGGUUCUACCAUUCCCAAGAAAUCGUACAGAAGGCAAUGAAGGAUCCGUAACAGAUUCAAUCUCAAGAAAGUUAAAAUCAUAUGCACCAGAUCGCUUCAAACUGAACAUAAAAAUGACGACAAUCCAUCCCAGCAUAGAGAUUGCCCAGAAAUUGUUCAUCCCAUGAAUCAAACCCCAUGCA
rnacentral:misc_RNA from 1 species